AGUGAACGCUGGCGGUAGGCCUAACACAUGCAAGUCGAACGGCAGCACAGUAAGAGCUUGCUCUUACGGGUGGCGAGUGGCGGACGGGUGAGGAAUACAUCGGAAUCUACUUUUUCGUGGGGGAUAACGUAGGGAAACUUACGCUAAUACAGCAUACGACCUACGGGUGAAAGCAGGGAAUCUUCGGACCUUGCGCGAUUGAAUGAGCCGAUGUCGGUUUAGCUAGUUGGCGGGGUAAAGGCCCACCAAGGCGACGAUCCGUAGCUGGUCUGAUAGGAUGAUCAGCCACACUGGAACUGAGACACGGUCCAGACUCCGACGGGAGGCAGCAGUGGGGAAUAUUGGACAAUGUGCGCAAUCCUGAUCCAGCCAUACCGCGUGGAUGAAGAAGGCCUUCGGGUUGUAAAGCCCUUUUGUUGGGAAAGAAAAGUAGCAGGUUAAUACCCCGCUGUUCUGACGGUACCCAAAGAAUAAGCACCGGCUAACUUCGUG
rnacentral:rRNA from 1 species